AGCAGCCGCGGUAAUUCCAGCUCCAAUAGCGUAUAUUAAAGUUGUUGCAGUUAAAAAGCUCGUAGUUGAACUUCGGGACCGGUAAGUUGGUCGUGCCUUAGGUACGUACUGGCUUUAUUGGUUCCUCUCUUCUGACGAACCAUGAUGUCAUUAAUUUGAUGUUAUGGGGAAUCAGGACUGUUACUUUGAAAAAAUUAGAGUGUUUAAAGCAGGCUAAAGCUUGAAUAGAUUAGCAUGGAAUAAUGAAAUAGGACGUUUGAUCUUAUUUUGUUGGUUUCUAGGAUCGACGUA
rnacentral:rRNA from 1 species